rnacentral:tRNA from 1 species
GGAGGGUCCAGCUCAGUGGUAGAGCAGGUGCAUAGCAUGCACGAGGUCCUGGGUUCAACCCCCAGUACCUCCA